AAGGGUUAGGUAAAGGGUUAGGGUUAGGGUUAAAUGAGUGCAUCCCUUGCUUGCCUGGUCACGAGGCCCGAAAUGGAUUCUGGUAUGAUAUCAAUGAGUGUGAGAGGCCGUCAGAUUGUCAGAGGGGCCGCUGCAUCAACAGCAUGGGCUUGUACCACUGUGAGUGCCAGAAGGGCUACAUGCUGAUCGGAGGCCGGAGAUGCCAAGGUUAGUCUCUUCAUAUCAUCGAGGUUUAUGACAUUACUAGCAAACAGAAUGCUGUCGAACAUCUUUCUCGUAAAUAGUUGCUGACUCAUGUACAGUAUCUUUAAGCCUCUACCGUUCUUUCUCCUCUUUUAAGAGACAGAGACAGUAGAGACAAAACUUCUGGUGUAAACGUAAUUAAAGCUGCAACGUUGGGCUGUGGCGCUGUUGGAGGAAACACAUGUAGAUUUUUGCAUCAUCAUUAAGAUCAUUCCUGAUGAUAUGCCCUAAGUGUUUUACUUUGGUUUCAAUAUGUAGCUCUUGCUCAGACAAGUAAAAGGAGGGAAACUUGAGCUUCUGAUCCUCCUUAGUUCUGGCUAUCAUGAUGACACUUCAAACUCCAAACCAAACUUUGUAUGAACUCUGAGCAGUUGCUGUAAGCCAGCACUAUAUGGUGACAUAAUGAUUAAAUCGUCAGCGUACAUUAAAUGGUUAAUAAGUUGAUUCCCCACCAUACAUCCAGUCUUACACUCCUCUCAUUCUCUAGACAGACCAUCCAUAUACAGGUUGAAAAGUACAGGUGACAAUACUCCGCCUUGUCUGACCCCAUUAGUGACAGGGAAUGGGUUCGAUAUUGUUUUGCCCCAUCUAACUUUGGUUUGAGUACCAAUAAUGCAGAAUUCUUAUUAAGUAUGUGGGCACCCUUCGCUCUUGCAGCUUAAUAAACAGUUUGCCAUGAUUAAUGCGGUCAGAGGCUUUGGCCUCAUCUAAAAAGCACAUAAACAUUGUUGAAUUGUGCCUUUUAUAGUUAGAGACAAGUUCUUUUAAAGUGGUCACUUCAGUUUUUGCACUAUCUGGUCAAUUUCCUUAACACCCAUAUUUAUUCCAUAUUUAUUAUCUGUAUUUAAAACCUAUGUUAAAAAAACAAAAAAAAACAAA